rnacentral:rRNA from 1 species
AAUGAACGCUGGCGGCAGGCCUAACACAUGCAAGUCGAACGCCCCGCAAGGGGAGUGGCGCACGGGUGAGUAACGCGUGGGAAUAUGCCCUUCGGUUCGGAAUAACACAGGGAAACUUGUGCUAAUACCGGAUACGAUCUACGGAUGAAAGAUUUAUCGCCGAGGGAGUAGCCCGCGUAGGAUUAGCUAGUUGGUGAGGUAACGGCUCACCAAGGCGACGAUCCUUAGCUGGUCUGAGAGGAUGAUCAGCCACCCUGGGACUGAGACACGGCCCAGACUCCUACGGGAGGCAGCAGUGGGGAAUAUUGGACAAUGGGCGAAAGCCUGAUCCAGCCAUGCCGCGUGAGUGAUGAAGGCCUUAGGGUUGUAAAGCUCUUUCGCCAGGGAAGAUAAUGACGGUACCUGGAAAAGAAGCCUCGGCUAACUCCGUGCCAGCCGCCGCCGUAAUAC